AACAUUAAUACCAUAUGUAUUUUGGAGAGACUGAGAGAGCAUUCCAUAAUCAAACACAUCAAUGUUUUUGGAAAAACAUUCUAAAUAGUCACAUGAAAUGGAAUACAUCAUAGCUUCCUAUCAAGGUGGUAGAGUGCAUGAGAUGGAUAAGAAUGGAAAUCCAGAAGAGUGACGGAGGGUUUGCUUGGAAUUUUGACAUGAGUCCAAAUGUAACUACCAGGUUAAAAUUUACAAAGAAGACUUUAACUGUCCUCAUAGAGGAAAAGCAGGUCACUCACAGAGAAAUGAAAUUCAACAGGGCAUCAGGCAUCUGUAACACGACUUCUGGGGCACAAUGGAAAAACACACUGAAACUCUAGAGGAAAAGUUAAUUUUUCCUAGAAAUGUACAUCCAGUCCAAGUAAUGCUUGAAUGCCAGGAUAGACUGAAGACAUCGUUAGCCACCAAAAGAUCUACAGUUGCCCCUUCUGUACCUUUUAAAACAUGUUUGGAUAUUCUCCAGUGCAACAAAUGAAUCAGAGUAUUGAACUGAGAUCCAAGACUUCAGAUUUGCAGAGAUCUGGAGGAAAAUCUAUGGGAAAGGCUUUCACCCGAAAAGAAGAGCAGUGUGGAUUAUUGACAAAUCAGUGUAUGGAGUAAAAUUUUACAAAAAAUGAGAAAUUUUAUAAGGAUGACUUUGCAAAGGGAAGGAAGAACAAAAGUAGAACAACUUUAUGGACGGAAAAUUAAAUUGUGGGUCAGUACUGGUUCUGCAGGUGAUGGCAUUUUUCUAGUCUCAAUUGUUAUGCAUUUUAUUGAUGUAAAUAAAAUUGUCAAGAAUUAUUCUCCGAACCAGAACAGCAUAAUGACUGCUGGAGUCCACCAUUUACUAUCUGGGAAAUUUGGGCAAGUGAUUCAUUUCCCUCAUCAAUACAGUAAAGAUUUUAAUAUAAUGUCUUGUGGGUUUUUUGUAAGGACUAAAUGAAUCGAUGUACAUAAAAUGCUUAGGAUGUUAUCUGGCACAUGAUAUGCACUCAGUAAAUGUUAAUUAUUAGUAAGAGAAUUAGAGUAAUAUAAGAGUGUUUUAAAAAACUAGCAUUCUCCCUUCCA